rnacentral:misc_RNA from 1 species
GAUGAAGAACGUAGCGAAAUGCGAUAAUUAAUGUGAAUUGCAGAAUUCCGUGAAUCAUCGAGUCUUUGAACGCACAUUGCGCCUCAUGGCAUUCCGUGAGGCAUGCCCAUCUCAGCGUUAGAAAAUAUUCUCAAAUUUUAGUUUUGUGCUAAAAUUUGGAUCAUGUCAAGGAAGCUAUUACUAUUAUUGUGAUUGCUCUUUGGAAAUUGAUAGGUCUUUGAGUUGCUACUCAUAGAACGUGAUGAAUCUUUCUUCGUUCUAUUGUAAUUCACUCUGGUAGUCCUAAAAGUUGUAUGCCUGUGGCAUAUCUUGUAAUUUGACCUGAGAUUGGGUAGGGAUACCCGCUGAACUUAAGCAUAUCAAUAAGCGGAGA